rnacentral:misc_RNA from 1 species
GAUGAAUCUGCUUUUAUCGUUUAUUUUUUAUGUUUUGUUUCUCAAAGUCAAAGCUAAAUGCUUUCAUUCUCACUACACAAAUUGGUGGUAUCAACACCACCAUUAACCAACUACUGGAAUUUGCAUCCGCGCUCUCCAAGAAAUGGCUCCUUUGCUUUCCCUGAUGUUAGUAAAUGUAGUGGAAGUGAUCCCAAUACAACAUUUACUUUUCCUUUAAUUUCAUCACCUCUCUCAAAACACAAGACUUGCUCAAAUGUUCACUCUCUCCUGCGGGCUUUUUCCUCGGAUUCUAUCCAACAAGAAGCGGAAGAAGAAGAUGAAGAAUAUCAUGUGCUGACGGCAGUGAGAAGCAAGCAUAAUGACAUCAUAAUCGUGGACACGCCUAAAGCCAGGAUGUUGCUCCUUGAUUCUACUCAUAAUGUUCAUAGCAUUCUUAAUAAGGGUCAGAAAUGGACUGGGUCGUAUUGGGAUGAAUUUGCUAGUCUACCAGCUGUCAUACCAAAAGGUCCUAUUGCAAUCUUGGGCCUGGGUGGUGGUACUGCUGCACAUUUGAUGCUUGACUUGUGGCCUUCAUUACAGCUUGAAGGCUGGGAGAUUGAUCCAGUUUUGAUUGAUAAAGCAAGACAAUAUUUUGGGCUAUCUGAUCUUGAGAAGCAUAAUAUGGCUGGUGGCAUAUUGGAUGUUCAUAUUGGGGAUGCCCUUCGCCCCUCAGAAAAUGAUUCUGGAAGAUAUGCUGGCAUUGUCAUUGACUUGUUCUAUGAAGGAAAGGUUUUGGCACAGUUACAAGAGAUUGCAACUUGGUUGAAUUUGAAAGAUAGAUUGAUGCCCAAUGGUCGUUUUAUGGUGAAUUGUGGUGGCAUACAUGAAAAAUCAGAUACUAUAGGUGGAAUAAUCCACCCGAAAUUAGUGGAUGGUACUUGGGUUGAAAAUUCUACCAUCAAGGCAUUAUUUGAAGCCUUCCCUGGACAAGAAUAAGUUAACAGUUCGACAUUUGGAAACAGGUAAGCUGGAAGAGAAUGCCAGAAACACAAGGUGCAAAUUUUCUUGCAUUGACAGGACCUUUUCCAGAUUUAACAUUUUGGUCUUCUAAGGUCCCAGAUCCUUUAAGUGAAACUGUGAGGCAAUGGAGGCCUUAUGACUCUAUUCCAUGAGGGACUAUUUGCUCUGACUUGGUUAUAUUGUAGCGAAUAACUAUGAUUUUUUUAAUGACUACUUAAUCAAAGGUGAAAUUCCCAACUGAUUCAAAUUUACUCUAAAUAGCCAUGAAGGAUAUACCAUUUAAGAUACUGUAUUCUCUCAAGUUAUUGUCUAAAAAAUUUGUCAUCUUUUCCUCAUUUGUAUUUGGCACUUCUGUUGAAUCUUUUAUUCUCACUAAGGAUAUGUAAGAUCAUUGUGAUUUCUAGAAAGGAUUGUAGCUGUGUCGAGAUAUUUUAGUCUUUGCCUUGCAUAUUAAAUGAUUAAUUUUAUAUGUGAAAAAUAGAACUAAUUUCCACCAAUUUAAACCAAGGACGAGCCAGUGCUUUGUAUAAAAGAAGAAAAAAAAUGAAAGAAAGAAAUCUCUUGAACAAAUAGGGGCUAAUUUCUUGGCAAUGAACAAAUAUUUGCUAGAAAUGGUCGUCCUUUAAUGUGAAGAAUUAUUAAUCCCUCAGUCUUAUAGAUUGAUCGAUCUAUUACUCUACAUUGUUUUUCUUUCCAGCACAGUGGAAGUUUGAUCUCCUCUUUAAUAUGUCCUGUGUUGUUGCUUGCCUCAUCAUUUUGCAAAAGGAUAAGAAAACUGAAAAUGCAAUCAAAGUUGGGAGACUCAAAACGCUACAGAAUACUUGUUAUAUUCAUUUUAAGAACUUGUUCUAUUCUUAUAUAUUUUGAAUGUGGAUGUUUAUUACCAGAAGUAUGCUUAUUCAUAAUUCCCAUCAGAACAUUGUGACUGUAGUCCAUCCUGUCUUCAUUGCUCAGAAAAGCAAGUACUCUGAUUAAUAUAAUUUCAGGACUUGUUCAUUAAUCACUGCUCUAUUCAUGUAGCAAAAGUUUUAUGAAUAUUUCAAUUUGAUUAAGUUAAUUUAAGAGCCAUGAGGGAACAAUUAGGUUAUCAAACCAACCACAGUUCAUGCAUUUUUCAGGAUGAUUCUUGAAUUUGAAAAUACCCCUUUGAUUCUUUGCUUUAUUUCUUUUAUAAUGCUAUAUCAUUUACUUCUCAAGUAAGACCUUAAUUCAGAUGAAAUGGUGAUGAACAGGAAUGAAUAACCAGUGUGUUCUUCCUAAAG